AUAACUUCGGGAAACCGGAGCUAAUACCGGAUAAUAUAUUGAACCGCAUGGUUCAAUAGUGAAAGACGGUUUUGCUGUCACUUAUAGAUGGAUCCGCGCGCAUUAGCUAGUUGGUAAGGUAACGGCUUACCAAGGCAACGAUGCGUAGCCGACCUGAGAGGGUGAUCGGCCACACUGGAACUGAGACACGGUCCAGACUCCUACGGGAGGCAGCAGGC
rnacentral:rRNA from 1 species